rfam:Fukomys damarensis contig110948, whole genome shotgun sequence.
AUUCAGAGUUCAUUGGUGUAAUGACCAGGUGGGUCAUGCCAUAGUGUAAAAUGUACCUCCAUCCAGCCUUGAUAUGAUGUUGGCACAUUACCUAUCUGACA